rnacentral:lncRNA from 1 species
AUUAUUAUUAUUAUUUUAAAUAUAAAUAUUUUAAAUUAAUAAUUUAAUAUAAAUUAAUGGAUCAAUUAUCUCAUCCAUAUAGAUCAUGAGAGUAGAAUCAUCUUCAUGCGUCAUUAUGUGUCAUCAGACAUUAAAAACAUAUCAAUUACCAGUUGAGUGCCACAUUAGAGUUGAGGGAAUACUAUAAUACAAUAGUGGUACAAUUUUGCAAUGAUCAAAUGAAUAAAAUAAAUCAACCAAGUGGGUCUUUGUUUAAGAACAAAUCUACCUAUCAUGUACGUCCUUCUGAAUACUAUCAUUACCUAAAUUAGAUGAAAUAGUACAACGAUUGAUUCAUUUUUAUAUUCACUUGAAAGAAUGGGAUAAGAAGCAUCUUUCUUGGUCUUCAUACAUAAACAAACAUGUAAACAUUAUCUAACAUCUUGCAAACAUAUGCACAAGCAUUAACAUAGUCCAACAAAUUAGUAUUUAGAUUCAUCAAGACUUCAAACAUUACCUAAACUGAAUAUUACAUGGAACAAAGAGUACUAGAAAAAUUUGCAUAAGUAGUUAUGUAACCAAUGGCUCACUUGUUGGUAUAGAAUAGUCAAUCAGCAGCAAAUUACUACUUGGAAAUAGAAUAACCAAUCAGCAACAAAAAAAAUUAUGCUUUGAAAAUAAGUAACACAGACAAAGUUGCAUUGAGAUGCAGAGAAAUGUCUUAAUCAAAUGCACUUGCGUUGGUCCUCCCUUUUCUCAUGAUGCUUGCUUUAUAAGUAACAUUAAGAUUCCCUAAACCAGAAGUCUCACUGCCAGGUGCUAAGUCUUUAUUCGAAUAGGUGCCCCCCAGUCCACCUAACUGACAAGAUCUCCACAUUUCAUCUUUGUACAGUUUUAGACCUGGAACUUACAAAUAAUUGAAUAACCUUACAUCAUUAGGAUCUCUCUCAUGAGAAAUUGAAAGAGAAUUUGCACUAUGCUUCAUGGAUGUUCUGAUCCAAUAUAAAUCAUAUAAGCAAUAUAUAUAUAUAUAUAUA